GAUGAAGAAGGUAGCGAAAUGCGAUAAGUAGUGUGAAUUGCAGAAUUCAGUGAAUCAUCGAAUCUUUGAACGCACAUUGCGCCCUUUGGUAUUCCUUAGGGCAUGCCUGUUCGAGCGUCAUUUGAAACCUCAAGCUCAGCUUGGUGUUGGGUGUCUGUCCCCGCCUCCGCGGGGACUCGCCUCAAAAUCAUUGGCGGCCGGUACGUUGGCUUCGAGCGCAGCAGAAACGCGAACUCGAGGCCCGGCGGAUCGGCGACCAGAAGUCUCUUCUUCACAGUUUGACCUCGGAUCAGGUAGGGAUACCCGCUGAACUUAAGCAUAUCAAUAAGCGGAGGA
rnacentral:misc_RNA from 1 species